AACCGUAAAAGGUUCGAGCCGAGCGAAGCGAGACAGCAACGCGGCAGCGUUGACCCGAAGGGCGAGUCCACAGGACGAGUAAUCCCGCACGACCCACCA
rnacentral:sRNA from 1 species